AUUGAACGCUGGCGGCAAGCCUAACACAUGCAAGUCGAACGAGUGGCGGACGGGUGAGUAAUGUCUGGGAAACUGCCUGAUGGAGGGGGAUAACUACUGGAAACGGUAGCUAAUACCGCCUACCAUCGGAUGUGCCCAGAUGGGAUUAGCGAGUAGGUGGGGGAAAGGCUCACCUAGGCGACGAUCCCUAGCUGGUCUGAGAGGAUGACCAGACACACUGGAAAUGGGACACGGUCCAGAAUCCUACGGGAGGCAGCAGUGGGGAAUAUUGCACAAUGGGCGCAAUCCUGAUGCAGCCAUGCCGCGUGUAGGAAGAAGGCCUUCGGGUUGUAAAGUACUUUCAGCUGGGAGGCGUUACCCGCAGAAGAAGCACCGGGUAACGCCGUGCCAGGCGCCGCGGUAAUAC
rnacentral:rRNA from 1 species